GACGAACGCUGGCGGCGUGCCUAAUACAUGCAAGUCGAACGCUGAAGGAGGAGCUUGCUUCUCCGGAUGAGUUGCGAACGGGUGAGUAACGCGUAGGUAACCUGCCUGGUAGCGGGGGAUAACUAUUGGAAACGAUAGCUAAUACCGCAUAAGAGUAGAUGUUGCAUGACAUUUGCUUAAAAGGUGCAAUUGCAUCACUACCAGAUGGACCUGCGUUGUAUUAGCUAGUUGGUGGGGUAACGGCUCACAAAGGCGACGAUACAUAGCCGACCUGAGAGGGGGAUCGGCCACACGGGGACUGAGACCCGGCCCAGACGCCUACGGGAGGCCGCAAUAGGGAAUCUUCGGCCAUGGACGGAAGUCUGACCGAGCAACGCCGCGUGAGUGAAGAAGGUUUUCGGAUCGUAAAGCUCGGUUGUAAGAGAAGAACGAGUGUGAGAGUGGAAAGUUCACACUGUGACGGUAUCUGACCAGAAAGGGACGGCUAACUACGUG
rnacentral:rRNA from 1 species